rnacentral:tRNA from 1 species
UGUUCGGUAGCUCAACAGGUAGAGCAGCCGGCGAAAGCCGGUGUGUGGCGGGUUCGAAUCCCGUCCGAACGC